UUUGGUUAAGUUAGAAAGGGCGCACGGUGGAUGCCUUGACACUAGGAGUCGAUGAAGGACGGGACUAACGCCGAUAUGCUUCGGGGAGCUGUAAGUAAGCUUUGAUCCGAAGAUUUCCGAAUGGGGAAACCCACCAUACGUAAUGGUAUGGUAUCCUUAUCUGAAUACAUAGGGUAAGGAAGACAGACCCAGGGAACUGAAACAUCUAAGUACCUGGAGGAAGAGAAAGCAAAUGCGAUUUCCUGAGUAGCGGCGAGCGAAACGGAACAUAGCCCAAACCAAGAGGCUUGCCUCUUGGGGUUGUAGGACAUUCUAUACGGAGUUACAAAGGAACGAGGUAGACGAAGCGACCUGGAAAGGUCCGUCGUAGAGGGUAACAACCCCGUAGUCGAAACUUCGUUCUCUCUUGAAUGUAUCCUGAGUACGGCGGAACACGUGAAAUUCCGUCGGAAUCUGGGAGGACCAUCUCCCAAGGCUAAAUACUCCCUAGUGAUCGAUAGUGAACCAGUACCGUGAGGGAAAGGUGAAAAGCACCCCGGAAGGGGAGUGAAAGAGAUCCUGAAACCGUGUGCCUACAAAUAGUCAGAGCCCGUUAACGGGUGAUGGCGUGCCUUUUGUAGAAUGAACCGGCGAGUUACGAUCCCGUGCGAGGUUAAGCUGAAGAGGCGGAGCCGCAGCGAAAGCGAGUCUGAAUAGGGCGUUUAGUACGUGGUCGUAGACCCGAAACCAGGUGAUCUACCCAUGUCCAGGGUGAAGUUCAGGUAACACUGAAUGGAGGCCCGAACCCACGCACGUUGAAAAGUGCGGGGAUGAGGUGUGGGUAGCGGAGAAAUUCCAAUCGAACCUGGAGAUAGCUGGUUCUCCCCGAAAUAGCUUUAGGGCUAGCCUUAAGUGUAAGAGUCUUGGAGGUAGAGCACUGAUUGGACUAGGGGUCCUCAUCGGAUUACCGAAUUCAGUCAAACUCCGAAUGCCAAUGACUUAUCCUUAGGAGUCAGACUGCGAGUGAUAAGAUCCGUAGUCAAAAGGGAAACAGCCCAGACCGCCAGCUAAGGUCCCAAAGUGUGUAUUAAGUGGAAAAGGAUGUGGAGUUGCUUAGACAACUAGGAUGUUGGCUUAGAAGCAGCCACCAUUUAAAGAGUGCGUAAUAGCUCACUAGUCGAGUGACUCUGCGCCGAAAAUGUACCGGGGCUAAAUACACCACCGAAGCUGCGGAUUGAUACCAAUGGUAUCAGUGGUAGGGGAGCGUUCUAAGGACAGUGAAGUCAGACCGUAAGGACUGGUGGAGUGCUUAGAAGUGAGAAUGCCGGUAUGAGUAGCGAAAGACGGGUGAGAAUCCCGUCCACCGAAUGCCUAAGGUUUCCUGAGGAAGGCUCGUCCGCUCAGGGUUAGUCAGGACCUAAGCCGAGGCCGACAGGCGUAGGCGAUGGACAACAGGUUGAUAUUCCUGUACCACCUCUUUAUCGUUUGAGCAAUGGAGGGACGCAGAAGGAUAGAAGAAGCGUGCGAUUGGUUGUGCACGUCCAAGCAGUUAGGCUGAUAAGUAGGCAAAUCCGCUUAUCAUAAAGGCUGAGCUGUGAUGGGGAAGCUCCUUAUGGAGCGAAGUCUUUGAUUCCCCGCUGCCAAGAAAAGCUUCUAGCGAGAUAAAAGGUGCCUGUACCGCAAACCGACACAGGUAGGCGAGGAGAGAAUCCUAAGGUGUGCGAGAGAACUCUGGUUAAGGAACUCGGCAAAAUGACCCCGUAACUUCGGGAGAAGGGGUGCUUUCUUAACGGAAAGCCGCAGUGAAUAGGCCCAAGCGACUGUUUAGCAAAAACACAGCUCUCUGCGAAGCCGUAAGGCGAAGUAUAGGGGGUGACACCUGCCCGGUGCUGGAAGGUUAAGGAGAGGGGUUAGCGUAAGCGAAGCUCUGAACUGAAGCCCCAGUAAACGGCGGCCGUAACUAUAACGGUCCUAAGGUAGCGAAAUUCCUUGUCGGGUAAGUUCCGACCCGCACGAAAGGUGUAACGAUUUGGGCACUGUCUCAACCAGAGACUCGGUGAAAUUAUAGUACCUGUGAAGAUGCAGGUUACCCGCGACAGGACGGAAAGACCCCGUGGAGCUUUACUGUAGCCUGAUAUUGAAUUUUGGUACAGUUUGUACAGGAUAGGCGGGAGCCAUUGAAACCGGAGCGCUAGCUUCGGUGGAGGCGCUGGUGGGAUACCGCCCUGACUGUAUUGAAAUUCUAACCUACGGGUCUUAUCGACCCGGGAGACAGUGUCAGGUGGGCAGUUUGACUGGGGCGGUCGCCUCCUAAAGUGUAACGGAGGCGCCCAAAGGUUCCCUCAGAAUGGUUGGAAAUCAUUCGUAGAGUGCAAAGGCAUAAGGGAGCUUGACUGCGAGACCUACAAGUCGAGCAGGGACGAAAGUCGGGCUUAGUGAUCCGGUGGUUCCGCAUGGAAGGGCCAUCGCUCAACGGAUAAAAGCUACCCCGGGGAUAACAGGCUUAUCUCCCCCAAGAGUCCACAUCGACGGGGAGGUUUGGCACCUCGAUGUCGGCUCAUCGCAUCCUGGGGCUGUAGUCGGUCCCAAGGGUUGGGCUGUUCGCCCAUUAAAGCGGUACGCGAGCUGGGUUCAGAACGUCGUGAGACAGUUCGGUCCCUAUCCGUCGUGGGCGUAGGAAAUUUGAGAGGAGCUGUCCUUAGUACGAGAGGACCGGGAUGGACGCACCGCUGGUGUACCAGUUGUUCUGCCAAGGGCAUAGCUGGGUAGCUAUGUGCGGAAGGGAUAAGUGCUGAAAGCAUCUAAGCAUGAAGCCCCCCUCAAGAUGAGAUUUCCCAUAGCGUAAGCUAGUAAGAUCCCUGAAAGAUGAUCAGGUUGAUAGGUUCGAGGUGGAAGCAUGGUGACAUGUGGAGCUGACGAAUACUAAUAGAUCGAGGACUUAACCAUAUAAUAUU
rnacentral:rRNA from 1 species